CCCACCAGGAGGCUAAUAAUGAAGGGGCCGGGAAGGAGGCCAGUGCUACCAGGGUUAUCUCACAACCUCAGAUGCUGGAUAAGUCGACGGAGGCAGAAUCGCUUUGGGAUGACAUUCAGAAAGCCUGGAGUGAUUACUUGCAAGAGAAAAGCCUACCUAUUCUUUCCAAGGUGCAGGAAUAUUCCCCUGACCUGCUCAUCCAGUGGUCCAGUAAUGAAUUACUGGAGACCUGCCUUAGACAAAGAAUGCACUCGGAGCCCCAACACACCUAAAGCCAUGCUUUGAAGGAUCUGCCAAGCUCACUUUUAAUCAUGAGAAAGAAAUUACCCACACGGAGUCAGCAGAAAAUGAGAAAGUAGAGCUCGUGCUGUGAAUAAUUCCAGCAAGUGCCAAGGGGCUAGUUGAGGAAUGGCUUCAUGAGGUGAAUAUCUUUAGCUUGUACUUAGGGUUUGGUUAGCGUAUAAUCAUUUUCUCUUUUAGGAGCAAUGACUAUCAUACAUGUAUUUCCUAACUAAAGAGUGCUCAGAGCAUUUGUCAGGUUGUUGACAGAUUUAAUAUCAGUCUUGCCCAUGUUGUUAUUUACUAUGACUAAUUUUACGUUUGUAAAUAUGCAAAAAUCAAUUUAGGCGGAAAGGCUCUCCUCCGAGCCAAUGACUGCUACUAGCUGUAUGCAUUUGUGUGUAUUGCUGUGAGUGCAUGUCCAGUAGUUUAUGUCUCUGUGUCUGUAUGUGCCCUUGUUCUGUCUUCUCUCUGUUGUGAACGCAGGUUGGGAGAAUUAGCCAACCAUUGGGUUCUCAGAUGUGGUCCCAGGCUUUCAUUUGAUUUUUGGAACGGGAAAAAAAGAACGUGUCACAUCAUGAUUAAUGGUGAAUCUGAAUUUUCAAUUCACAUGAAAGGAGGAAGGGGAGGGGAUAUGAGUCAAGUGACAAGACUAACCUUUUCC
rnacentral:lncRNA from 1 species